AAAUUGCGAUAAUUAGUGCGAAUUGCAGACUUUGCGAAUCAUCGAGUUCUUGAACGCACCUUGCACCUAGUGGUUUAUUCUACUAGGUACGGUUGUUUCAGUAUCACAAAACUCAUCAACCAAACUUUUUGGAGUUUGAGUUGGAGCUGGGACCUUUUGAGACUUGGUUUGUCUCAAAAUGACCUGAAAGCAAUUAUGCCAAAAGUCUUUUUAGCCUUGCUUGAAAGACCGGACUGUAAAACAUAAGGCUGGGUUUGGUCUUUGAACCUAGUUUGUCUGGUUUUGAGAGGUUAAUGUAAAAUGUAGGGGAUUUUGGUAGUUCAACUACGAGUGAACAAGUCAAAGAAAGACCAAAACUGUGAUCUGAAAUCAACUGAGACUACCCGCUGAACUUAA
rnacentral:misc_RNA from 1 species